rnacentral:rRNA from 1 species
CCCUUAGAGUUUGAUCCUGGCUCAGAUUGAACGCUGGCGGCAUGCUUUACACAUGCAAGUCGAACGGCAGCACGGGGGCAACCCUGGUGGCGAGUGGCGAACGGGUGAGUAAUAUAUCGGAACGUACCCUGGAGUGGGGGAUAACGUAGCGAAAGUUACGCUAAUACCGCAUACGAUCUAAGGAUGAAAGUGGGGGAUCGCAAGACCUCAUGCUCCUGGAGCGGCCGAUAUCUGAUUAGCUAGUUGGUGAGGUAAAGGCUCACCAAGGCGACGAUCAGUAGCUGGUCUGAGAGGACGACCAGCCACACUGGAACUGAGACACGGUCCAGACUCCUACGGGAGGCAGCAGUGGGGAAUUUUGGACAAUGGGGGCAACCCUGAUCCAGCAAUGCCGCGUGAGUGAAGAAGGCCUUCGGGUUGUAAAGCUCUUUUGUCAGGGAAGAAACGGGGCCGGCUAAUACCUGGCUCUAAUGACGGUACCUGAAGAAUAAGCACCGGCUAACUACGCGCCAGCAGCCGCGGUAAUACGUAGGGUGCAAGCGUUAAUCGGAAUUACUGGGCGUAAAGCGUGCGCAGGCGGUUUUAUAAGUUUGUCGUGAAAGCCCCGGGCUCAACCUGGGAAUGGCGAUGAAGACUGUAAGGCUAGAGUGUGUCAGGGGGGGGUAGAAUUCCACGUGUAGCAGUGAAAUGCGUAGAUAUGUGGAGGAACACCGAUGGCGAAGGCAGCCCCCUGGGAUAACACUGACGCUCAUGCACGAAAGCGUGGGGAGCAAACAGGAUUAGAUACCCUGGUAGUCCACGCCCUAAAACGAUGUCUACUAGUUGUCGGGUCUUAAUUGACUUGGUAACGCAGCUAACGCGUGAAGUAGACCGCCUGGGGAGUACGGUCGCAAGAUUAAAACUCAAAGGAAUUGACGGGGACCCGCACAAGCGGUGGAUGAUGUGGAUUAAUUCGAUGCAACGCGAA